rnacentral:rRNA from 1 species
GGAUGAAGGCCUUCGGGUUGUAAACUGCUGUCAGCUGGGAAGAAAGGUUUUUAGUGAACAACUAAAAAUUUUGACGGUACCAGCAGAGGAAGCCACGGCUAACUCUGUGCCAGCAGCCGCGGUAAUACAGAGGUGGCAAGCGUUGUUCGGAUUUAUUGGGCGUAAAGGGUCCGUAGGCGGUCCGGAAAGUUGGAUGUGAAAGCCUGCAGCUUAACUGCAGAACUGCAUUCAAAACUCCCGGACUCGAGUUUGAGAGGGGUAAAGGGAAUUCCCGGUGUAAGGGUGAAAUCUGCAGAUAUCGGGAAGAACACCAGUCGCGAAGGCGCUUUACUGGCUCACAACUGACGCUGAGGGACGAAAGCUAGGGGAGCAAACGGGAUUAGAUACCCCUGUAGUCC